UGUUAAAUGGAAUGCAUAUAUAUAUAUAAGCCUUAGCACAUCUCAUUUACAUUGAGAAUAUUUGGCCCUGUAACUUGUGUUAAUCUUCUUGACUUGACACAGACACAUGUCUAAUGUGUUUAUAAAGGGGGCAACUAUUUUAUUUUAGAAUUGAAACUGGGACUAGAUUUGUUAUUUUUCAACACAAAAAAAAUAUUAUUUAGAUACUCUUUUUUUUUUAGGUCUAAAACAUAGUGAACGCUGAAGAAAAGAGAACAGAAAUAUAAAAACAAUAAUGUCCUGUUAGAUAUAUAUAUAUAUGUGGCCUACAUAGAUCUGUUAUAUAGAAAGAAGGAAAGUGAUUCAGGUAAAUUGUGCAGUUAAUUCAGAAUAUUAUGAAACUUUAAAAUUAUAUAAACAGUAUUUAUUUACAUAAAUAAAUAUAUACAUCAGUCAGGGGACUUACUGAAAUAAGUGAUUUUUAAAUCACUUAUUUGGGUAGCAAAUUUGAAGUUUUGACACAAAUUGUGAUUUUGUAUUUUUACCAAAAUUUUAAAAACAUAUGUUUAAAUAAUACCUUUUUAUUAAUAAAAUUGAAUAAAAAUGAACUUUUUGCUUCUUUUAUGUAGCAAGGUUUAUGCCUUUGAUGCUAUCAUUUAUCUGCAAAUUAUAUUUUAGUUGAAAAAAUGCUAUAAUAAUGUCUUUACAUAAUGAACUGAUACUUUCUUAAUUAACAGAUUUUCCCAAGCAGUGGGAGUAUUUUUCCUGUAAAGUUCAAGGUUUCAUCUUUCAGAUGAUGUAAUAAAACUCUACUGUUCACAAUAAAAUUUUCACUGUUCAAAUUUUCACUGUUCCGGGGUGUUGAAAUUAGUGGGGGUUAUUAAAAUAAUGAUACUUAAAAAUAAGUGAUUUUUGGGAAGGAAAUUGAGGUAUACGUAUGAUACUUAAACAAGUGAUUUUAAUGUCAUUAUCCUAGAUUCAGUACAAGGUCAUCACCUGAAAUGACCUGGUAAUCCUAGACAACACAGAUGUUGGUUCUGAUAAUUUUAGAAACAUAAUUAGUCUCUGGAUCAUUAGUAUUCUAUAUUUAAAGCUAUAAUAAAAUUAAAAUACUUCUUUUAGUGAUUAUUUGUUUCUACUGAAAAUAGGUGAUUAUUAAAGAAAGACAACUCUUACUUCCAAUCUUAAUGGAAAUAAUGUUAUUUAAAUCAGUGAUUUAGAAAAUCACUCAUUUAAGUAAGUCCCCUGACUGUACAUAUUAGCUAUAAUAGGGUUUUCUGUCUAGCAUAAAGCAAUACAUUAUUUCAUAUCCAUGUUGUUGAAAUAUUCAUACACUGUAGCUGUAAACUCAUAGUAGAGAAACUGUAAAUGUGAUGAAUUACUAAAUGUAGUUUAUCAGGCAAUAAACAAAAAUCAUAUUAAAUGUGUUGAGUACAUUAACUACAAACUAACAGCUCAGAGUCUGAAAAGUCCAUUUUUUGCUCAACCAGUAAUGUUGAGUACAGAUUUUAAUUGACAUACUAAAUGCCCCAACUGUUCAGGGUUUGACCUCUGUGGUCGUAUAAAGUUAAGGUGACUUGUGUUUAAAUGUGUCAAUCUCUCUGAAAUUGUACUGCAAGGUACAAUAACAGGCAGGAAUUGAGUUUGGGGGUAAUUACUCCAAGGGGGGUUAAAAGAAAAAAAUUGGGGGGGGGGGGGGGUUUUCUUCAUAAUUUUUGGGCUUUUAUACUGAUCAGUCAGGGGCGUUACUUAAACAAGUUAUUUUUUUUAGUUACUUAUAUAAGUAAUUUUUGUUUUUAAGAAUAAUAAAAUUACUUAAUAGAGUUAUUUUAAUUUUCAAUAGAAACAUAGACUAAAUGUAGUUUUCAUGAUUUUAAACAACAUUUUAUAUCAUAAAAUAAAGAAUUUAUCAGAUUUGAGAGGAGUAUAGAGAUAAAGGGUUACUUUAAGAAUAAUGACAAAAAUAUUACUUGAAUAAAUUAUUUUAUACAUUUUUGAAAAAAAAUAGCAAUUAGGCCUAAAUUAAAAUAUUGUUUGUUUGCCCUUUUCCGACCCUAUGUUUUGAAACAGGGUAGGUAGGUAGGUAAAAUAUUUUAUUUUUCUUUCCCAAAAAAUAACUUAGCUCAGUACAUUUUUUGUCAUGGGUAGGCAGGUAGGUAUAAUAUUUUAUUCUAUAGAUACAAAAUCUGCAUGAUGUCAUUUUUGUCUUUAUUGCUUUUGUUUAAAUAUGGUUUAACUAUUAAGUUUCUGGGACUAUUAGUAUAAUAGUCCCAAGUUUUGAAAAAAAAAAUAUCACGUAGAAUGUGAAGUUAAUUCAUAUGCACUACAAUUUUUUUCAAAUUUCAAAAUAUAGGGUUGUGCGGCAUAUUUUAAACGUUUACAUACCUGGAAUUUUAAAGAAUUUUAACUUACACUAAUAGUACUAUGUACCUUGAACGCUUACCUAGACCUAAAGUUUUUCUGUAAGCAGGUAAGAGAUAAUUUUGUUCUGGUAAAAUAUGUCCGGGCAGAAAUACAUUGUACAUUACUAGUAGAAAAAGUCCCUAGAGUGUUUAAAUUUUUGUGUGUGCCUGUGUUUCCAAUAAAAAUGCUACAAGACGUCACGUAUUUUACACCGCAUUUAUAAAUGAUCUGUAUGGAAAAACUUGGCGAUUUUACUGCCAAAUAUUCUCCCCUUUACAGACCUUUGGUUCAUGUCAGAUAUAAAUCAGAAUAUAUCAAUGCUGGUCGAAGGCAUCAUUAACAUAAUCAUCCUAAUCUAGGGACAACCAAAGGCCAUCCCUACAUAGGAUACAAAGUCUGUUUACAAAAUAUUUUGUACACACGUUGAUAAUUUAGUAUUGGACGAACUUUUUUUGAAUGAACCCUGCUCUUCAUGUAUAAAGACACAGAGUAACGUUCGUUAAAUCAUGAUUUCAAAGCUUUCAACAUCGAUUUCAAACAAGUGCUUUGAAACUCCAAAUGCAAGUAUUCAUUCAUGUCAAAUGCUCAUGUGAUACCAAACGGACUAGACCUUAUACAGGAAAGAUAAAACCUGAGAAUUCCGGGAAAAAAGUUUUGAGCGGGAAAUACAAAUAUAAGAUUUUUGGUAGGAACAAAAAAUAAAAUAAAAUAAAAUCUUGCUGGUAAACACAAAUAAAAUAUUUUCAGGCGGAACGAAUUUAUAGGGUCGGUCGGUAAAGGGCAAACAAACAAUAUUUUAAUUUAAGCCUUACACUUAUCUAAGGCACAUAUGUAAUUGAUUUGGGUUACACAUUAUAAAUAACUUCAGGUCUUAAUUAAUUCACAAGUAUCUAUCUAUUUAUAUCAGUCUACCUUCAAGAUUUUAGAAGAAAAUGAUAAUUUGAUAGUCCCAAGAGACCAAUCUUUGUCAGAAAGUUAAUUAGUGUUUAGGAAGAAUUUGUUUUUAUAUAUCAAGGGAAAAAUAACCACAUGACUGUGUAAAUUAUUUAAAGCUAGUAAAAUCUGUAUUAUUGGACACCUAUAAAAAUAAUAUUCAGAAAAAUAACUUAUAUAAGUUAUAUUUAAAUUAGCCUUGUUUUCAACAUUACUUGUAUAGGUAAUUUUAAUUGUUACUUGUUUAAGUAAUGCCCCUGACUGCUGAUAUGGCAGGAGAUACACACCAAACAGGAUGUGUAAAUAAUAAAUUAUUAUAUUAAGUAUUGUGCAAUAGCAUAGGACACAAAAUGACUUCAUGCUAUAAUGAAUAUGUCCUAAAAACUUUUCCACUAAUUAGCUUUGUAUGGUACAUGUACCUUUUCUUUUUUAAUUCAUGACAGGUACAUAAAAAUUCAGGGAAAGUUUUACCAAUAUUUAUAUAAACGUGAAACAAACUGAAAUUGAGCUACAUGUAUUUUUUUAUAUUUUCAGUUUGAAGAUCUACUAUUAGUAUUUAUUGAUUCAAGGUCCAGUCAAGUUAUUACUAUCUAUAGGUCAGUGAACAUUACAUUGAUAUUGUAUUGGAACAAUUAAUGAUUUUUUUAUCAAAUGAAAAUCAGAAAUAUAUUGAAAUUGUAAAUGUGAAUUAAAGGGGAGAUAAUCCAGAGCUAUAGGAUUCAUUCUAAAUAGUACUAGACCAGUGUUUGUAUUAAAGGGGAGAUAAUCCAGAGCUAUAGGAUUCAUUCUAAAUAGCACUAGACCAGUGUUUGUACUAAAGGGGAGAUAAUCCAUAGCUAUAGGAUUCAUUCUAAAUAGCAUUAGACCAGUGUUUGUAUUAAAGGGGAGAUAAUCCAGAGCUAAAGGAUUCAUUCUAAAUAGCAUUAGACCAGUAUUUGUAUCAAUUCUUUUAGAACAAGGUUAAAAUUUUGCACUUAGCAACUUUUGUGACGGGAUACAAAAAAUAAACUGACACAAUAACAAAAUUAAUUGUACUUGGAAGUUGAAACUAAUUAAACAUUGCAAGCAUUACAAAAAGAGUUGUUAACUUAGAACAUGUAGAAAUCAAAUUGUUCUUUAUUAUUGUAAGAUGGGAGGUCUAUGUCAAUGAGACAGCAACCAAUCAACAAAAGAGGUCAACAUUUUAUUUUAAAAUAGAUUAGUGUCUGUAACGUGUUGUUUUUAUUUCAUUUAUAUUUUCAUUUUGAACAUCUAUAAUGUCUAUUAUCAUGAUUAUUGUUUUUUAUUUGAUAAUUGUCCAGUCCUUGUGUUCAAUGUCCAGUCCGUGUGACCAUUGUCCAGUCAAUGUGAUCCUUGCCAGUUGACUUCCUAUUAUAGGUAAGUUUAAUUGUAUGUGAACUAGAUAGAAUCAUUUACUACUGAAAUUUGUUUAAAAAAAGAUGCGAAUGUAGAAUUUUAACUCUGACAGGGGGAGAUAAUUAACAGAUAUAUUUUACAUUCAAAAUAUCACAACACUAGUUUUUGUCGAGCUUUCGACUUUAGUCGAAAAAGCAAGACUAAGCGAUCCUACAUUCCGUCGGCGUCGGC
rnacentral:lncRNA from 1 species